rnacentral:rRNA from 1 species
CGGCGAGUUACGAUUUGAUGCAAGGUUAAGCAGUAAAUGUGGAGCCGUAGCGAAAGCGAGUCUGAAUAGGGCGUUUAGUAUUUGGUCGUAGACCCGAAACCAGGUGAUCUACCCUUGGUCAGGUUGAAGUUCAGGUAACACUGAAUGGAGGACCGAACCGACUUACGUUGAAAAGUGAGCGGAUGAACUGAGGGUAGCGGAGAAAUUCCAAUCGAACCUGGAGAUAGCUGGUUCUCUCCGAAAUAGCUUUAGGGCUAGCCUCAAGUGAUGAUUAUUGGAGGUAGAGCACUGUUUGGACGAGGGGCCCCUCUCGGGUUACCGAAUUCAGACAAACUCCGAAUGCCAAUUAAUUUAACUUGGGAGUCAGAACAUGGGUGAUAAGGUCCGUGUUCGAAAGGGAAACAGCCCAGACCACCAGCUAAGGUCCCAAAAUAUAUGUUAAGUGGAAAAGGAUGUGGCGUUGCCCAGACAACUAGGAUGUUGGCUUAGAAGCAGCCAUCAUUUAAAGAGUGCGUAAUAGCUCACUAGUCGAGUGACACUGCGCCGAAAAUGUACCGGGGCUAAACAUAUUACCGAAGCUGUGGAUUGUCCUUUGGACAAUGGUAGGAGAGCGUUCUAAGGGCGUUGAAGCAUGAUCGUAAGGACAUGUGGAGCGCUUAGAAGUGAGAAUGCCGGUGUGAGUAGCGAAAGACGGGUGAGAAUCCCGUCCACCGAUUGACUAAGGUUUCCAGAGGAAGGCUCGUCCGCUCUGGGUUAGUCGGGUCCUAAGCUGAGGCCGACAGGCGUAGGCGAUGGAUAACAGGUUGAUAUUCCUGUACCACCUAUAAUCGUUUUAAUCGAUGGGGGGACGCAGUAGGAUAGGCGAAGCGUGCGAUUGGAUUGCACGUCUAAGCAGUAAGGCUGAGUAUUAGGCAAAUCCGGUACUCGUUAAGGCUGAGCUGUGAUGGGGAGAAGACAUUGUGUCUUCGAGUCGUUGAUUUCACACUGCCGAGAAAAGCCUCUAGAUAGAAAAUAGGUGCCCGUACCGCAAACCGACACAGGUAGUCAAGAUGAGAAUUCUAAGGUGAGCGAGCGAACUCUCGUUAAGGAACUCGGCAAAAUGACCCCGUAACUUCGGGAGAAGGGGUGCUCUUUAGGGUUAACGCCCAGAAGAGCCGCAGUGAAUAGGCCCAAGCGACUGUUUAUCAAAAACACAGGUCUCUGCUAAACCGUAAGGUGAUGUAUAGGGGCUGACGCCUGCCCGGUGCUGGAAGGUUAAGAGGAGUGGUUAGCUUCUGCGAAGCUACGAAUCGAAGCCCCAGUAAACGGCGGCCGUAACUAUAACGGUCCUAAGGUAGCGAAAUUCCUUGUCGGGUAAGUUCCGACCCGCACGAAAGGCGUAACGAUUUGGGCACUGUCUCAACGAGAGACUCGGUGAAAUCAUAGUACCUGUGAAGAUGCAGGUUACCCGCGACAGGACGGAAAGACCCCGUGGAGCUUUACUGUAGCCUGAUAUUGAAAUUCGGCACAGCUUGUACAGGAUAGGUAGGAGCCUUUGAAACGUGAGCGCUAGCUUACGUGGAGGCGCUGGUGGG